UGAGGAAUCUUGCGCAAUGGGCGAAAGCCUGACGCAGCGACGCCGCGUGAGGGAUGAAGGCCUUCGGGUUGUAAACCUCUGUCAGGGGGGAAGAAUCCGGAGUCGGUGAAUACCCGACUCCACUGACGGUACCCCCAGAGGAAGCACCGGCUAACUCCGUGCCAGCAGCCGCGGUAAGACGGAGGGUGCAAACGUUGUUCGGAAUCACUGGGCGUAAAGGGCGCGUAGGCGGACUCAUAAGUCGGGAGUGAAAACUCGGGGCUCAACCCCGAGCCUGCUUCUGAAACUGCGAGUCUUGAGGACCGGAGAGGAAAGUGGAAUUCCUAGUGUAGCGGUGGAAUGCGUAGAUAUUAGGAAGAACACCAGUGGCGAAGGCGACUUUCUGGACGGUUCCUGACGCUGAGGCGCGAAAGCUAGGGGAGCAAACAGGAUUAGAUACCCUGGUAGUCCUAGCCGUAAACGAUGAGUGCUAGGUGGUGGUAGUUUCAACACUUUCACCGCCGCAGCCAA
rnacentral:rRNA from 1 species